rnacentral:rRNA from 1 species
CUGCUGCCUCCCGUAGGAGUCUGGUCCGUGUCUCAGUACCAGUGUGGGGGACCUUCCUCUCAGAACCCCUAGACAUCGUCGCCUUGGUGGGCCGUUGCCCCGCCAACUAGCUAAUGUCACGCAUGCCCAUCCGUUGCCGGAAUCGCUCCCUUUGGCCGCAGGGCCAUGCAGCCCCGCGGCAUUACGCGGUAUUAGACGGGAUUUCUCCCGAUUAUCCCCCUGCAACGGGCAGGUCGCAUACGCGUUACUCACCCGUGCG